ACGAAGGGGGCUAGCGUUACUCGGAAUUACUGGGCGUAAAGGGCGCGUAGGCGGCUCGGUCAGUCAGGCGUGAAAUUCCUGGGCUUAACCUGGGGACUGCGCUUGAUACUGUCGAGCUUGAGGCCGAGAGAGGGUGGUGGAAUUCCCAGUGUAGAGGUGAAAUUCGUAGAUAUUGGGAAGAACACCGGUGGCGAAGGCGACCACCUGGCUCGGUUCUGACGCUGAGGCGCGACAGCGUGGGGAGCAAACAGGAUUAGAUACCCUGGUAGUCCACGCCGUAAACGAUGUGUGCUGGAUGUUGGGGUCCCUAGGAUCUCAGUGUCGUAGCCAACGCGGUAAGCACACCGCCUGGGGAGUACGGCCGCAAGGUUG
rnacentral:rRNA from 1 species